rnacentral:rRNA from 1 species
ACGGGUGAGUAAUGUCUGGGAAACUGCCUGAUGGAGGGGGAUAACUACUGGAAACGGUAGCUAAUACCGCAUGAUGUCGCAAGACCAAAGUGGGGGACCUUCGGGCCUCACGCCAUCGGAUGUGCCCAGAUGGGAUUAGCUAGUAGGUGGGGUAAUGGCUCACCUAGGCGACGAUCCCUAGCUGGUCUGAGAGGAUGACCAGCCACACUGGAACUGAGACACGGUCCAGACUCCUACGGGAGGCAGCAGUGGGGAAUAUUGCACAAUGGGCGCAAGCCUGAUGCAGCCAUGCCGCGUGUGUGAAGAAGGCCUUAGGGAUGUAAAGCACUUUCAGCGAGGAGGAAGGCGUUGUAGUUAAUAGCUGCAACGAUUGACGUUACUCGCAGAAGAAGCACCGGCUAACUCCGUGCCAGCAGCCGCGGUAAUACGGAGGGUGCAAGCGUUAAUCGGAAUUACUGGGCGUAAAGCGCACGCAGGCGGUUUGUUAAGUCAGAUGUGAAAUCCCCGAGCUUAACUUGGGAACUGCAUUUGAAACUGGCAAGCUAGAGUCUUGUAGAGGGGGGUAGAAUUCCAGGUGUAGC